UAUUUUUUUUCAGACUCAUUUUAUUUCUUUAUUUUUAUUUAAAUAACUUGGAAAAUGUAUGCGCUUGAAAUAACCCAACAUGAGGGAUCAAUCCUUUGAGGAAUGUAAAACGACGCCGUUUUGAACGUAAACGAUGUCACAUAAGUAAAAGGGCACUCAGGGGAAGCUUGCUAAGGCUGAAGCUGAGGCUCAAUAGCGUGGGAGGAACCCAAAAGGAUGGCGUUCAUGCACCAAACAUUUUCUUCUCCUUCUUGUCCUCUCUUCUAUCGUAAACCCCAUUUCUCCAAAACCCUAAUAAGAUUCUCUGCAACUCCCUCUAGUCCUGUUCCCACUCCUUCCUCUCACUCUUCAUCCCCCAUUUUCCUCCCUUUUCUCCAAGAACAAGACCGAACACUCCAACACCAACGACAGCAGAAGGAAGAAGAAGACGAGGAUCCAAAUGACCCAAUUCUCAGAUUCUUCAAGUCUCGCACUUCAACCCAAGACCCCAGAUUCGAAUCCAAAUUCUCCCUCCAAAAGAAUCGCCGCCCCUCCUGGCGUCUCGCCUCCACCACUGACCCCGAAUCUGACGCCGAAUUCGAUGUCGAGGAGGAAAAAGAGCAAGUGGUUUCGGACUCAUGUACGUCACUCCAGGGCAUUUCUGGUGAAAUUCUUCAUUUUGCAAGGAAUUUGCCUGAGAAUUCAACGUUAGGGGAGGUUUUGGGGCCUUACGUGGGCAGAGUAGGUGAAAGAGAGUGUGUGGAAGUUUUGGGUUUGAUGUGUGAGGAGGAUCUUGUAAUGGGUUGUUUGUAUUUCUUUGAGUGGAUGGGGUUGCAGGAGCCGUCGCUCGUUACCGCUCGAGCCUGCUCGCUUUUGUUUCCGAUGUUGGGGAGAGCAGGCAUGGGUGACGACUUAAUGGUUUUGCUUAGGAAUCUACCGAAGACGAGGCAAUUCAGGGAUGUUCGUAUUUAUAAUUCAGCAAUUUCAGGCUUGUCGUCCUGUGGGAGGUAUGAUGAUGCUUGGAAGGUGUAUGACGAAAUGGAAACAAAUAAUAUCCGUCCAGAUCAUGUCACAUGUUCUAUUAUGAUUACAGUCAUGAGGAAAGACGGGCAUAGUGCCAAAGAUGCUUGGGAGUUCUUUCAGAGAAUGAACAGGAAAGGAGUUAAAUGGAGUUUGGAAGUCUUGGGUGCUCUUAUAAAAUCGUUCUGUGAUGAGGGGCUGAAGAAUGAGGCCCUUAUAAUCCAAUCAGAGAUGGAGAAGAAAGGGAUCUCUUCAAAUGCUAUUGUGUAUAACACUCUGAUGGAUGCAUACAGUAAAUCCAACCGGGUUGAAGAAGCUGAAGGUCUCUUUGGUGAGAUGAAGGCAAAGGGUGUUAUGCCUACAUCUGCCACCUAUAACAUUCUAAUGGAUGCAUACAGCCGAAGAAUGCAGCCCGAAAUCAUUGAGAAUUUACUGUUGGAGAUGCAGGAUAUGGGCUUGGAGCCAAAUGUCAAAUCAUAUACAUGCCUAAUUAGUGCAUAUGGUAGACAGAAGAAGAUGAGUGACAUGGCUGCAGAUGCAUUCUUGAGGAUGAAGAAAGUAGGUAUCAAACCCACUUCACAUUCUUAUACAGCUCUUAUCCAUGCAUAUUCAGUCGGUGGCUGGCAUGAGAAAGCUUAUACAGCAUUUGAGAACAUGAAAAGGGAAGGAAUAAAACCUUCCAUAGAAACUUAUACUGCUCUACUAGAUGCAUUUAGGCGUGCUGGUGAUACCCAAACACUGAUGAAAAUUUGGAAAUUGAUGCUCAGUGACAAAAUUGAAGGGACACGGGUGACCUUCAACAUUCUUCUUGAUGGAUUUGCUAAACAAGGACACUACAUGGAAGCAAGAGAUGUGAUUUUUGAAUUUGGGAAGAUUGGUUUCCAACCAACAGUGAUGACAUAUAAUAUGCUGAUGAAUGCUUAUGCACGGGGAGGGCAACACUCAAGGUUGCCACAGCUAUUGAAAGAGAUGACGUCCCUCAAUCUAAAACCUGAUUCUAUUACUUAUUCAACAAUGAUCUAUGCUUAUGUUCGUGUUCGUGAUUUCAAGAGGGCAUUCUUUUAUCAUAAGCAGAUGGUGAAAAGUGGACAAGUACCAGAUCCCCAAUCUUAUCAGAAGCUGAGGUCAAUUUUAGAUGUAAAAGCUGCAACAAAGAAUAGGAAGGACAGGAGUGCUAUACUCGGGAUUGUUAAUAGCAACAUGGGUUUGUUGAAACCUAAGAAAGGAAAGAAAGACGAGUUCUGGAAGAACAAGAAGGGGCAAAGGAGAAUUCAAAGUUUUGCUCACGAUGGAUAGUGGUAUCGCAAUUCUUGGAAUGUUAACAUCAUAAAAUGGAAGGUUCUGCAAAGUAAGACCCAAAUUGUUUUCCUCUGCUUCAUGGACAUCAAAUUUCAGGUUGUCAUUUAGUGGCUUGUGAUUUGUAUAAUAGUUUUUGGAUGGUUAUGAGACAGUUCUUCCAUAUCACGGGACUGUAGAUGCUGCUGAGAAAGGAAAGCAUACACCCACUUCAGCUUUAAUGAUGAAAACCUUCACAUGAACCUUAUCAUCAUUUCACAAACAAUAACAUUUGCGGCGUUGAGUCUCUUUGCAAUACACCAGUUACACCACAAGAUUCAUGUCAAGAAAUGCUUCAUCACACGAACUAACGGAGAAGGCAACUGUAUGUGAGUUCCAUGUUGGUGCCACCACAUCAAACUCAAUCAAGCCUACCCUACCAGACUUGGAUUCUUUUGCCAUGGAACGACCUCAUUUGCACCGCCCCAAGUAUGGGGUUUCAUGCCCAAAAAGCCCAUUGUAUGGGAUAAGUUCAUGACUAGCAUUAUGGAUGAAUUGAAUGGUUUUUGUGACUUUAAACAUAUAAAACUAUUAUACAUCAAGUACAUAUGGAACAUAUUAGCCAUUUCUUCCAUGUAUGGCUAGUCAAAUGCUUAGAAUAUAGUAUUAUUCUGUGGGCCUUGUGUUUGCUUUCAAUGAAAUAGAUUACCAUUUCCUGCCGA